rnacentral:rRNA from 1 species
AUUGAACGCUGGCGGCAGGCCUAACACAUGCAAGUCGAACGAGUGGCGGACGGGUGAGUAAUGUCUGGGAAACUGCCCGAUGGAGGGGGAUAACUACUGGAACCGGUAGCUAAUACCGCAUACCAUCGGAUGUUCCCAGAUUGGAUUAGCUUGUAGGUGAGGUAACGGCUCACCUAGGCGCCGAUCCCUAGCUGGUCUGAGAGGAUGACCAGACACACUGGAACUGAGAAACGGUCCAGAAUCAUACGGGAGGCAUCAGUGGGGAAUAGUGCACAAUGGGCGCAAGACUGAUGCAGCCAUGCCGCGUGUAGGAAGAAGGACUUCGGGUUGUAAAGUACUGUCAGCGGGGAGGCGUUACCCGCAGAAGAAGCACCGGCUAACUCCGUGCCAGCAGCCGCGGUAAUAC